CCUACGGGAGGCAGCAGUGAGGAAUAUUGGUCAAUGGGCGCGAGCCUGAACCAGCCAAGUCGCGUGAGGGAAGACGGUCCUAUGGAUUGUAAACCUCUUUUGUCGGGGAGCAAAAGACGCCACGCGUGGCGUUCCGCGAGUACCCGAAGAAAAAGCAUCGGCUAACUCCGUGCCAGCAGCCGCGGUAAUCCGGAGGAUGCGGUCGUUAUCCGGAUUUAUUGGGUUAAAAGGGUGCGGAGUGGGAUGAGCAAGUCAGCGGUAACAUUGAGAGGCUCAACCUCUUCGAGCCGUUGAAACUGGUUUUCUUGAGUGAGUGAGAAGUAUGCGGAAUGCGUGGUGUAGCGGUGAAAUGCAUAGAUAUCACGCAGAACUCCGAUUGCGAAGGCAGCAUACCGGCGCUCAACUGACGCUCAUGCACGAAAGUGUGGGUAUCGAACAGGAUUAGAUACCCGGGUAGUC
rnacentral:rRNA from 1 species